CUGAGACUACACACUGACACCUGAUACAGUUAGACCCUAAAGCUGAGACUGACACCUGAUACAGUUAGGUCCUAAAGCUGAGACUGACACCAGAUACAGUUAGGUCCUAAAGCUGAGACUACACACUGACACCUGAUACAGUUAGACCCUAAAGCUGAGACUACACACUGACACCUGAUACAGUUAGGUCCUAAAGCUGAGACUGACACCUGAUACAGUUAGGUCCUAAAGCUGAGACUACACACUGACACCUGAUACAGUUAGGUCCUAAAGCUGAGACUGACACCAGAUACAGUUAGGUCCUAAAGCUGAGACUGACACCAGAUACAGUUAGGUCCUAAAGCUGAGACUGACACCAGAUACAGUUAGGUCCUAAAGCUGAGACUGACACCAG
ensembl:lncRNA